GCUAGAACAUUCUUCCAAGAUGGUUUUGCUGGUAUUGAUCCAGAUUUGGAUGCUCAAGUGGAAUUUGGAACAUUCCAAAAAAUGGGAGAUCCAACUACAAGGAAACAGGCAGCCUCUCCACUAUACCCCUCGUCUUCUAAUUCCUUCCAUUCGAUCAAAGAAUUCUCUAUAAUAAUUCGCAAAUCCAAAUUUACUAAUUAUUCUCUAGUAGCACCUGCUCCUGUCACAAUUUCCCAAUUUCGAAAUGUUGCAAAGCCUGGGGUAGAAAAAAAAGGGAGAAAUGAUGUUGUUACAGGAUGCAAUUUCCUCUUCGAAGAAACCUCAUAA
rnacentral:rRNA from 1 species